GGCGCCGUGGCCAAGUGGCUAAGGCAGAGGAUUGCAAAUCCUUUAUCCCCGGUUCGAAUCCGGGCGGCGCCU
rnacentral:tRNA from 2 species